AUGGGAGAGUUUGAUCCUGGCUCAGGACGAACGCUGGCGGCGUGCCUAAUACAUGCAAGUAGAACGCUGAAGAGAGGAGCUUGCUCUUCUUGGAUGAGUUGCGAACGGGUGAGUAACGCGUAGGUAACCUGCCUUGUAGCGGGGGAUAACUAUUGGAAACGAUAGCUAAUACCGCAUAACAAUGGAUGACACAUGUCAUUUAUUUGAAAGGGGCAAUUGCUCCACUACAAGAUGGACCUGCGUUGUAUUAGCUAGUAGGUGAGGUAAUGGCUCACCUAGGCGACGAUACAUAGCCGACCUGAGAGGGUGAUCGGCCACACUGGGACUGAGACACGGCCCAGACUCCUACGGGAGGCAGCAGUAGGGAAUCUUCGGCAAUGGGGGCAACCCUGACCGAGCAACGCCGCGUGAGUGAAGAAGGUUUUCGGAUCGUAAAGCUCUGUUGUAAGUCAAGAACGGGUGUGAGAGUGGAAAGUUCACACUGUGACGGUAGCUUACCAGAAAGGGACGGCUAACUACGUGCCAGCAGCCGCGGUAAUACGUAGGUCCCGAGCGUUGUCCGGAUUUAUUGGGCGUAAAGCGAGCGCAGGCGGUUUGAUAAGUCUGAAGUUAAAGGCUGUGGCUCAACCAUAGUUCGCUUUGGAAACUGUCAAACUUGAGUGCAGAAGGGGAGAGUGGAAUUCCAUGUGUAGCGGUGAAAUGCGUAGAUAUAUGGAGGAACACCGGUGGCGAAAGCGGCUCUCUGGUCUGUAACUGACGCUGAGGCUCGAAAGCGUGGGGAGCGAACAGGAUUAGAUACCCUGGUAGUCCACGCCGUAAACGAUGAGUGCUAGGUGUUGGAUCCUUUCCGGGAUUCAGUGCCGCAGCUAACGCAUUAAGCACUCCGCCUGGGGAGUACGACCGCAAGGUUGAAACUCAAAGGAAUUGACGGGGGCCCGCACAAGCGGUGGAGCAUGUGGUUUAAUUCGAAGCAACGCGAAGAACCUUACCAGGUCUUGACAUCCCGAUGCUAUUUCUAGAGAUAGAAAGUUACUUCGGUACAUCGGUGACAGGUGGUGCAUGGUUGUCGUCAGCUCGUGUCGUGAGAUGUUGGGUUAAGUCCCGCAACGAGCGCAACCCCUAUUGUUAGUUGCCAUCAUUCAGUUGGGCACUCUAGCGAGACUGCCGGUAAUAAACCGGAGGAAGGUGGGGAUGACGUCAAAUCAUCAUGCCCCUUAUGACCUGGGCUACACACGUGCUACAAUGGUUGGUACAACGAGUUGCGAGUCGGUGACGGCGAGCUAAUCUCUUAAAGCCAAUCUCAGUUCGGAUUGUAGGCUGCAACUCGCCUACAUGAAGUCGGAAUCGCUAGUAAUCGCGGAUCAGCACGCCGCGGUGAAUACGUUCCCGGGCCUUGUACACACCGCCCGUCACACCACGAGAGUUUGUAACACCCGAAGUCGGUGAGGUAACCUUUUGGAGCCAGCCGCCUAAGGUGGGACAGAUGAUUGGGGUGAAGUCGUAACAAGGUAGCCGUAUCGGAAGGUGCGGCUGGAUCAC
rnacentral:rRNA from 1 species